AUUGAACGCUGGCGGCAGGCCUAACACAUGCAAGUCGAGCGGAUGAAGAGAGCUUGCUCUCUGAUUCAGCGGCGGACGGGUGAGUAAUGCCUAGGAAUCUGCCUGGUAGUGGGGGACAACGUUUCGAAAGGAACGCUAAUACCGCAUACGUCCUACGGGAGAAAGCAGGGGACCGUCGGGCCUUGCGCUAUCAGAUGAGCCUAGGUCGGAUUAGCUAGUAGGUGAGGUAAUGGCUCACCUAGGCGACGAUCCGUAACUGGUCUGAGAGGAUGAUCAGUCACACUGGAACGGAGACACGGUCCAGACUCCUACGGGAGGCAGCAGUGGGGAAUAUUGGACAAUGGGCGAAAGCCUGAUCCAGCCAUGCCGCGUGUGUGAAGAAGGUCUUCGGAUUGUAAAGCACUUUAAGUUGGGAGGAAGGGCAGUAAGUUAAUACCUUGCUGUUUUGACGUUACCAACAGAAUAAGCACCGGCUAACUUCGUGCCAGCCGCCGCCGUAACAC
rnacentral:rRNA from 1 species